rnacentral:rRNA from 1 species
GUGGGGAAUAUUGGACAAUGGGCGAAAGCCUGAUCCAGCCAUGCCGCGUGUGUGAAGAAGGUCUUCGGAUUGUAAAGCACUUUAAGUUGGGAGGAAGGGCAGUAAGUUAAUACCUUGCUGUUUUGACGUUACCGACAGAAUAAGCACCGGCUAACUUCGUGCCAGCAGCCGCGGUAAUACGAAGGGUGCAAGCGUUAAUCGGAAUUACUGGGCGUAAAGCGCGCGUAGGUGGUUUUGUAAGUUGGAGGUGAAAUCCCCGGGCUCAACCUGGGAACUGCCUCCAAAACUGCAUGACUAGAGUGCGGUAGAGGGUAGUGGAAUUUCCUGUGUAGCGGUGAAAUGCGUAGAUAUAGGAAGGAACACCAGUGGCGAAGGCGACUACCUGGACUGAUACUGACACUGAGGUGCGAAAGCGUGGGGAGCAAACAGGAUUAGAUACCCUUGUAGUCC